UACGUAGGGUGCGAGCGUUAAUCGGAAUUACUGGGCGUAAAGCGUGCGCAGGCGGUUUGCUAAGACAGGUGUGAAAUCCCCGGGCUUAACCUGGGAACUGCGCUUGUGACUGGCAGGCUAGAGUACGGUAGGGGGGGUGAAUUCCUGGUGUAGCAGUGAAAUGCGUAGAUAUCAGGAGGAACACCGAUGGCGAAGGCAGCCCCCUGGGCCUGUACUGACGCUCAUGCACGAAAGCGUGGGGAGCAAACGGAUUAGAUACCCCCGGUAGU
rnacentral:rRNA from 1 species